CCUUCGAUUGCCAGUACUACUCUCUCGUAUCUGCCGGUCGUUCCUUGAUCCAGAGUCUUUCACUUCCUUCGCGGGACACUUGGUUCCGCAGAAAACAAAGUGGAUGCAAUCGCAGGAGACGUUGAAGGAGAAUGCCUUGGUUGUGAUAAAGGACAAGUCCAGUCAACCAAUCAUAUGAUUGCUGGGGCGAAUUCUUCGAGUGCUUCCGGUUGAAGAUGGAGUUGCAAGGGUGGCAAACAUUCGCACCAGGAAGGGCGUAAUCAGAUGGGCCUUCAACAUGAUGUCCCCUGCCGACUGUAAAUAUUGAAGAAGACUCUUCAACGCGGGGAGUAUGUUUGAGUACGUGCGCGCCUGACGAGUACGGGCGACGCGAAGGGGUAGGGAGCGCCGGCGCCGGUGCGAGCGCAGCGGCGACAAAUUAAAUUGUCAUCCACGACGCCGAGCCAUCAACACUAUUAUUUUUUUUAUUCGCGACGCCAAGCCGUCCAAGUUUUAUAUAUUUUUUAUAAUUUAAACAACAAUAUACGAUUGAAGAAAUACA